UGGGGAAUAUUGGACAAUGGGGGGAGCCCUGAUCCAGCCAUGCCGCGUGCGUGAAGAAGGCCUUUUGGUUGUAAAGCACUUUAAGCGAGGAGGAGGCUACUCUAGUUAAUACCUAGGGAUAGUGGACGUUACUCGCAGAAUAAGCACCGGCUAACUCUGUGCCAGCGGCCGCGGUAAUACAGAGGGUGCAAGCGUUAAUCGGAUUUACUGGGCGUAAAGCGCGCGUAGGUGGCCAAUUAAGUCAAAUGUGAAAUCCCCGAGCUUAACUUGGGAAUUGCAUUCGAUACUGGCUGGCUAGAGUAUGGGAGAGGAUGGUAGAAUUCCAGGUGUAGCGGUGAAAUGCGUAGAGAUCUGGAGGAAUACCGAUGGCGAAGGCAGCCAUCUGGCCUAAUACUGACACUGAGGUGCGAAAGCAUGGGGAGCAAACAGGAUUAGAUACCCUGGUAGUCCAUGCCGUAAACGAUGUCUACUAGCCGUUGGGGCCUUUGAGGCUUUAGUGGCGCAGCUAACGCGAUAAGUAGACCGCCUGGGGAGUACGGUCGCAAGACUA
rnacentral:rRNA from 1 species